GAUGUCAUCUCCACCAGAACAAGGACUACGUUUUGUAUGUUGCUGUUCCGUUAGUGCCAGAACAUGCCCACCCCUGCUCAGUAAAUAAGCGUUAAGUGAAUGAAUUAAUAAGUGAAAGGCUGUGUUUGAAGAGGAGGGGCUCACUCUAAAUCUUGAAGAUGUUCAGCCUCGAAAAAGUAGAAGUCAUUGUGACCAAAGAUGAUGCCACCAUGCCUUUGAAAAAGAAAGGUGAUGAGCCUCAAAUGGAAAAAUACAUUCAAGAAAGGUCAAUGCUAGUGAGUAUGAAUGAACACAUAGCAAAAAUUUCAGGUAGAACAGCCAUGCCAAGGGCUGGUGGGACAGGUGAGGCCGAGUGAAUAAAAAGAAGUAGCCCCAGAGACACUCAAGGUGGUUCCAGCUGCUUUUGAAGGAGGUUUCUUUCUAAGAGGUGGCUGGGCUUGGUUUCAGCGUAUUCCAAUUUGGGACUCAUGAACUGCAACUAAUAAAGAUCAAAA
rnacentral:lncRNA from 10 species